GUGCUUGCUUCAGCAGCACAUAUACUAAAAUUGGAAUGAUACAAAGAAGAUUAGACUGGCCCUGUGCAAGGAUGACACGCAAAGUCAUGAAAAAUAAAAAGAAUGG